CGCGCUUCUGGAGGCUGUGGAGCCGUCCAGACGCAGUUGCUGCUGGAUGCAGCUGGAGGAGCGAGGUGGGAUGUGCUGCUGAUGGUCACCGCAGUCCCCGGGAUGCAGUGCUAGCACGAUGCAGACGCUAAUGGGUAUAUCACACCAUCUGUCACAUGAGUUCCGCAGCGGCGGAUGUGGCAACUGCUCAUGUUGCUAGAGAGGUUGCUGACGGCGCCCAGCUGUUCCAUGGCUAUGACCAGGACUUCCUGGAGCAUUAGAUGUCCGGGAUGUAUGGCGUCGAGGAAGGGCUCCAUGUCUGGUGCUUCCAUAAGGUGUCGUUGCCACGGUUCAGGCAUCAAAAUGACUAUCCGUCAGCUGGGUCAAGUGUUAUUAUGUGUGUCGUCUCUUAGGUCUGUUUCAAGUGCUAUUAUGUGUGAUAUUUGUUAGAUGCUUUUCUUUUCUUUUGCAAAGCAAGUGUUGGUUCACCCAAGUGUUGAUGGAGUAGUACAGCAGCCACAAGCUUUUUGAUUCAUCAUGAUUUGUGUCGUGUAGUUGAUCAUAUUUAUUUUGUUUUGGGUAGCGUUGUUUUCUUGAUAUAAAAUGUUUAAAUAGCUAAUCAACAUGCUUGUAAUUUUGUUUGGAAUAGUUCCAAGUGUUGUACAGGCGCAAGAAUCUGAUAUGUGACCAUGUGUAUAAUUACACAAUCUGGUUUACAAAGGCUAUUGAGUUGGUAUGAUGUGCUUCAUUUGAGUAUAUUAAUCAUGCAAGGGCAGGUAGAUAGUGUUGAUGCUUUGAAGGAGGCGUAUCGCGCAGAUGGACCAAAGUUACAGGUUCUUGGAUCAGGGUUGUGCUUUGGAGUCUGAGAUGGUUGCGAAGAUUUAAGCAGCAGCAAGUACUGGACAUAAACUCCCUUGCUAACCGUCUAUGCCUCUGGCCACUUGGGUGUCCGGUAGUUCAGCACUUGGGUGAAGGCCUGUGUAAUGUUCCGGUUGUUGCGGUGUCGAGUAGUCGUCCGACAUGCAUGGUAGCAACAUUAUUCUUGUUGUGAUGCUCCAGGUUCAGGAUCUGUGUAAUAGAGUAGUGGUAACUGUUGUAUCCCUUUGCCGCGCCGUUUGGUGGUCCUAAUUAACUCUGCGCUUGUAGGUGAGUUGGGUUGUAUGUAUAUGCCACUUGAUUAUGUGCUGUGAAUGCUCAGGAAGAGGGCGCGCACAAGGCAUGGCGGGAUUUUGUAGCGAGUAUCCUUUUUCGUGAUGAAUUGUGCCACACAAUCGUGGUGCAUACAUUUCGUGAUGUUUCGCGUGAUUAGUAC